rnacentral:tRNA from 1 species
GAGCCGCGCUGGGCCGUCUGCACGCCACGCCGCGUCCAGCACGGCGGAUGGGGAGGCUUCUCGGCCGCCGCGUUCCACUUCGGGGCGCGGCUCG